GUUGAACGUAUCAAUCGUCGGCUGUCCGAAWGAUGCCGACGCAUUGGAUCGUCGAGGCGCGGGUGAACGAUACUCCUACGGGGGGGUUCGAGCGGSGGACGGKCCGAGAGGGCCGACCGUCGUCUCGAGCUGCUCGCGCCUCGUCGUCCGAAGAACAGAAGGGACCGCGCGACCACGCCGGCCGCACGUCCGAAGUCCGCUGGCGGACGGGGACGGCGACUCGGAGGUAAAAGACCGAUCGGCCGUCGCCCUCCGUGGCGGUUCGGUCGGCGUGGAAGCGAAGGACCCACGAAGAAGCUCGAAUCGGCGGGCCGCGUCCGGCAACGGCGCGCGGCCCCCGACCAGAC
rnacentral:misc_RNA from 1 species